AACGAACGCUGGCGGCAUGCCUAACACAUGCAAGUCGAACGAGACCUUCGGGUCUAGUGGCGCACGGGUGCGUAACGCGUGGGAACCUGCCCUUAGGUUCGGAAUAACUCCCCGAAAGGGGUGCUAAUACCGGAUAAUGUCUUCGGACCAAAGAUUUAUCGCCUUUGGAUGGGCCCGCGUUGGAUUAGCUAGUUGGUAGGGUAAAAGCCUACCAAGGCGACGAUCCAUAGCUGGUCUGAGAGGAUGAGCAGCCACACUGGGACUGAGACACGGCCCAGACUCCUACGGGAGGCAGCAGUGGGGAAUAUUGGACAAUGGGCGAAAGCCUGAUCCAGCUAUGCCGCGUGAGUGAUGAAGGCCUUAGGGUUGUAAAGCUCUUUUACCCGGGAUGAUAAUGACAGUACCGGGAGAAUAAGCACCGGCUAACUCCGUG
rnacentral:rRNA from 1 species